rnacentral:lncRNA from 1 species
UAUCAAAUAGGUCAAGGAACGUGUACAAUACUUCCUGUACCAAAAGAUAAUCUCCCCAUAGAGAACUAAACAACGCUAAAGCUGGGGUCGAAGAAAGAGUUCAGAAGAAGGGUUUACUUUGCUUGGGUUGGUCCCUAUGCUGAAAGAAUAGGUUCCAAACGGAAAAGUAAUGAGUAAAAUCUGACAACCGUGUCCCUUUGUUGUUACCAAAUGAUAAAGCUUCCCGAUAUUUUUAGGUUGCAAUACCAAUUGUUAGAUCCCUGAUAAGGUUUCGAUAACAUCUUUACAAAUAGGUUCCAAACGGAAAAGUAAUGAGUAAAAUCUGACAACCGUGUCCCUUUGUUGUUACCAAAUGAUAAAGCUUCCCUAUAUUUUUAGGUUGCAAUACCAAUUGUUAGAUCCCUGAUAAGGUUUCGAUAACAUCUUUACCAUGGCUCCAACGGCAGUCAGUCGAACAUUCCAGUGAAAGUAUCCACUUUGCGUUUAGGUAUGAAUUUGGUAUUCAGUGGGUGUCUCACAAAAAUGUUC